CAAGGAAUUUUCGUCAAUGGGCGCAAGCCUGAACGAGCAACGCCGCGUGGAGGAUGACGGCCUUCGGGUUGUAAACUCCUUUUUCGGGGGACGAUGAUGACGGUACCCCGGGAAUAAGGCUCGGCUAACUCUGUGCCAGCAGCCGCGGUAAUACAGAGGAGCCAAGCGUUGUCCGGAUUGACUGGGCGUAAAGCGCACGCAGGCGGACGCGCGCGUGGGGUGUGAAAUCUGGCCGCUUAACGGCCAGGCGCCAUCCCAUACGGCGCGUCUGGAGCAAUGCAGAGGUCGGUGGAAUUGCCGGUGUAGUGGUGAAAUGCGUAGAGAUCGGCAGGAACACCCAGGGGGAAACCAGCCGACUGGGCAUUUGCUGACGCUGAGGUGCGAGAGCGUGGGGAGCGAAC
rnacentral:rRNA from 1 species